GGAAAAAGGCCCGGCCCCCGCGCGCGCACGCGCGCUCGGGCGUUCGUUUGCUCGCUCGCGCUCAGGCAGGCGCGCGGAGUGUGCACGCGGCGGGGAGAGCUCCCGUGAGGGGGCGUGUCCUUUCGUGGGCCGGCUGAGUCUGUGAAGGUCCGCGUCUCCGCGCGGCGUGGUGCUCACGGCUGUGGGGAAGCAGGGCGCGCGCCCUGUGGGGCGGGCUCUUGCCUGCGGACAGAUGGAGGGUCACCUUGUUCCGAGGAGAGUCAGGCACCCGAUGUGAGGGAGGAUGUGAAACGGAACGACCCGUUUAGGUGCGGUUGGCUUUGUUUAUUUGCCUCCUCACCAGACGCCUCCAGCCCCUGACGCCGCCAGACCGGGAGAGGAAGCAAACGGCUGCCACCGCCGUUGCCGCCAGACGGGGUCGCCUGCCCCGCGCCUGACGGGCGGAAAGGCUGGACGCCCCCAACGGCCGGCGGCCUGAGCCCGGCGACCUGAGUGCAACCGUCAGUGCAGAAACCUGGCGUUGGGGUUUGGACGACAGAACCACAAUACUGACAUGGGGAUGGAGAUAGAGUCUCAUGACAAAAAUAGAGGUGAACGUGUUGUGGAAAAUAUAAAGAUGGAAGUCAGAAGCUGAGAAAGCUGAGACAGAAAGAUAAGAAACUUGGUUCAUUCAUGACAUCCUGAAGUUGCUGCAGAAGUCCUAGAAUGACUACAUCUGGACUUAAAUGUCAAAAAUAAAUACCUGUUUAAACAGUU